GACGAACGCUGGCGGCGUGCCUAAUACAUGCAAGUCGAACGGAAAGGCCCUGCUCUUGCGGGGUGCUCGAGUGGCGAACGGGUGAGUAACACGUGUGUAACCUGUCCCUGUCUUUGGGAUAACUUCAGGAAACUGGGGCUAAUAUCGGAUAGGAGCUCUUGCUGCACGGUGGGGGUUGGAAAGUUUCGGCGGUUGGGGAUGGACUCGCUGCUUAUCAGCUUGUUAGUGGGGUAGUGGCUUACCAAGGCUUUGACGGAUAGCCGGCCUGAGAGGGUGACCGGCCACAAUAGGACUGAGAGACGGAGCAGACUCCUACGGGAGGCAGCAGUGGAAAGUAUUGCACAGUAAGCGGGAGCCUGAUACGACAGCGCCGCGUGCGGAAUAACGGCCUUCGAGUUGUGAACCGCUUUCGCAUGUGACGAGGCGUGAGUGACGGUAAUGAGUCAGAAAGCACCGGCUAACUACGUG
rnacentral:rRNA from 1 species